rnacentral:sRNA from 1 species
AAGUAGAUGCACCCUGAUAACUAACUUCCCUAGCCGGCUAACUUCCGGUUGGGGAUUUUUUGU